rnacentral:rRNA from 1 species
GUGGGGAAUCUUGCGCAAUGGGCGAAAGCCUGACGCAGCCAUGCCGCGUGGAUGAUGAAGGUCUUAGGAUUGUAAAAUCCUUUCACCGGUGAAGAUAAUGACUGUAGCCGGAGAAGAAGCCCCGGCUAACUUCGUGCCAGCAGCCGCGGUAAUACGAAGGGGGCUAGCGUUGCUCGGAAUUACUGGGCGUAAAGGGAGCGUAGGCGGACAUUUAAGUCAGGGGUGAAAUCCCGAGGCUCAACCUCGGAACUGCCUUUGAUACUGGGUGUCUUGAGUGUGAGAGAGGUGAGUGGAACUCCGAGUGUAGAGGUGAAAUUCGUAGAUAUUCGGAAGAACACCAGUGGCGAAGGCGACUCACUGGCUCAUUACUGACGCUGAGGCUCGAAAGCGUGGGGAGCAAACAGGAUUAGAAACCCGUGUAGUC